rnacentral:lncRNA from 1 species
UUGAAGGAGUGGAGGUCAUAGGUGAGAAAAGACCCCCUCCUAUAGGCCCCAUGUGGAGCCCCCUCAUACUCAUUUCAUCAGCCGUGACACCCACUGCAGAAGAGAGGUAUAGUGUGUGGCCUUUUAGAAGCCUACUUCCGCCUCUUGGUUUCCCCCCUUGCUGCACCCCCUUUCUUAAGCCCUGCCCCAUACUCCCUCCUCGAGGACAUUUUCUGAAAACCACUCUUCUCUCUAGUUGAUCUUCCCAUCUAUGACCAUUCCAUUGUACAGCCCUCAAGUCAACAGCUAGCCAGGGAAAGGAGAGACAGGGGUACAGACAGGUGUGGAACAGGAAUGGGGCAGAGACUAGGCCCAGCUUUUUCUCCUGGGCUCAUCGGCUGACAGUGCUGGCAAGCUUCUUCCCUUGGCCCCAGCCCAGCUUCCCACCAUGGUCUCAUUUUGAGGUCUGCUAAGAAAAUAGCCCAGAUAAGGAGCAGGUGACUGCUCUCCCUUGCUCCUUUCUGUCCCCCAGCAUGAAAUAAAUUGUAUUUAGCUUCAGUAGCAGCUAGGGGAAUGCUUUUCAGAGGUAGGCUCCUCCAUGACCCCCUAUCCCCCCGCCAACCCUGCCACAUAUCCUCACAGGACCCUGUUCCACAGUUCUGUCCUCCAGCAGGCCCACGCUAGCUCCACUGCAGGGCUGGGGUGGGGGAUGUGGGCCCACUUCCCACCUCUAAAGAUGAGGCCACAUAAGAGGUAAGGGCCUGCUUUGAGGACAGCCCAGCUCAAAAAAGGAUGAGAGACUCCAGGUGCCUCAAAAGACAAGAUUGUCUUGGUCACCCACAGAGGUCAUCUUGGGGACUCAUCCAUGGGCCUCUCAGAUGAUCCCCACCCAAAAAUGUGUUCUAGGGAAGGUGGGAAAGGUUAAAGUUAGAGAGCUCUGAGAAUUGCGGUACACAAUUUUGUUGUAGACUCUGGGCUUAAGAGGACAGGAGAGAAUAGGAGGCAGGCAGAGUGCACACUGUCCUUGAAAGGCUUUGAGCCUCCUUCAACUCCUCCUCUCAGGGGUUUCCAAGGUACUGCCCCAGGGGCUUCAUCAGGUGAAUGGCUAGUUUGCAGAGGCCAGAAAAGGGGAAGGCAGGCAGUACCCGGGGCAGCUGUGUCCGUGGGGCUUUGUGGUCUCAGAUGCUGUGAUUGGGGGUAAGUUUGGUGUAUGUUUUUUGGGGAAGGGCGAGAAUGGAAGGAGCACCCUCAGCAGUUCAGGGCUCUGCAUCGCCCACGGCCAUCUGUUUGUCUAAGACGAGGGAAGCUCUGGUUUCCAGGCUGAUCUGGAGAGUGGAGCAAGAGGCUCCUAACACUGUGCACCUUGGCCUAGAGGGCAGACACCACUGUGUGCUCAUGUGCUGACCUCCUGGCUUGGCAGACGGCUAGGUGGGUGUUGCCAUCCCCCUGGGCUGUUGCUGGCCAGCAACUGGUAACAAGCACUGGGCUACAGGGGAGUCUGUGUGCAACCCAUGGGUAGGAGUAAGCAGGCAGGAGGUCAAGACUGGGGAGAAAUGGCUUUCUAAGUUCCGGGGACUGCCCAGGAAAAACCAACCAUAUUCUCCUUCCAUGGCCAGUAAUUUCCCAUAGGGAAACGGACAUGAAAUCAGUAGUUGGCUGUUUUUCUUAGCACAAUGUUAUACCUAAUACAGAAACAGCCUCCCACAGACCACUCCUUUAUUGCACUGGCACUGAGAUGAAGGCUCCAGUGCCAGGCUGCCAGCUGGGAGCACUGAUUACGGGUGAUGGAAGAGAAAGGAUGCUUCUGUCCCUGGCACAAAUGAUGGGAGCCCCAAAGAAUGGAUGUUUAUGCAUAAAAUAACCCCCUUGUUUUUGCCUAAAUGCUUCCCUCUCUCAUUUUGCCCCUACAAUCAUUUUAGAUAGUGUGGAGACUAAGAAUGUGCUCAUUUACAUGGGAAUAAAGAGGGUGCAGAGAUUCAGAAUCGGCUCAUCACAGGAAGUUAUCUGUAUCACUAGAGCUCUUUUCCCAAGAGCAAACUGUAGAUUUGCUUGAAAUUAAUAAUGGUUCAUCAGCCAUUCAUUACACAUGUAAUUAGCCUGGGUAAAAACAGAUGCCAUUUCAAUGUCCUUGACAUCAAUUUUCUCCACUCCUAGUUAUCGGCCCAACCACUCCUCUCUGCUUUCCCUUCUCAAGUCUGAUAAACCCCAAGUUCCGGAGUAGGAACAGUGGUUGGAUUUUUUGGUGGGUUUGAUUACAUAUAUUGAACAGGCAAUACUAGAAUGUUCCCAUCCAAACAGGCAAAGGAUAAUUUUUAAACUACAACUUUGGAAAGUGGUUGUACUCUGAUCCUAUAUUCCAAACCCCAUUCUUGCAUAAUGACAAAGGAAAAAAGUCAUGAGCCUCCAAGUGGGAAGCAGGCAGAACUGCAGGCGAGUUUCAAGUGAUUGCUAAUGGGAAUCCCUCCUGAGCUGUCUUCCAAACUCUGCCAAGGAGGGGCUAGUUGUCUACAGUAUGAGGAUGACAACACAGAACUUCCAUGGUGCUCUUAAGAACCAGCUACUCAGGAGGCUGAGGCAGGAAAAUCACUUGAACCUGGGAGGCGGAGGUUGCAGUAAGCCGAGAACGCGCCAUUGCACUCCAGCCUGGGGAACAAGAACACAACUCCAUCUCAAAACAGGCAAACAAAAACUGAACUCUUAUUUGAACCAUGAAAGCGGAACCUUAGAGUAGCAGGCACAGGCUG